GAUGAAGAACGCAGCGAAAUGCGAUACUUGGUGUGAAUUGCAGAAUCCCGUGAACCAUCGAAUCUUUGAACGCAAGUUGCGCCCGAAGCCAUCAGGUUGAGGGCACGUCUGCCUGGGCGUCACAUAUCGUUGCCCAAUGCCUAUUGCAGUGCAAUAGGAAUUUCUAGGGCGAAUGAUGGCUUCCCGUGAGCGUUGUUGCCUCGCGGUUGGUUGAAAAUCGAGUCCUUGGUAGGGUGUGCCAUGGUAGAUGGUGGUCGAGUUAGAACGAUACCGAUCAUGUGCAUGCUCCCCAAAAUAUGGCCUCUAUGACCCACACGCGUCUUUUGACGCUCAUGACGAGACCUCAGGUCAGGCGGGGCUACCCGCUGAAUUUAAGCAUAUCAAUAAGCGGAGGA
rnacentral:misc_RNA from 1 species